GCGAACGCUGGCGGCAGGCCUAACACAUGCAAGUCGCACGAACCUUUCGGGGUUAGUGGCGGACGGGUGAGUAACACGUGGGAACGUGCCUUUAGGUUCGGAAUAACUCAGGGAAACUUGUGCUGAUACCGAAUGUGCCCUUCGGGGGAAAGAUUAAUCGCCUUUAGAGCGGCCCGCGUCUGAUUAGCUAGUUGGUUGAGGUAAUGGCUCACCAAGGCGACGAUCAGUAGCUGGUCUGAGAGGAUGAUCAGCCACAUUGGGACUGAGACACGGCCCAAACUCCUACGGGAGGCAGCAGUGGGGAAUCUUGCGCAAUGGGCGAAAGCCUGACGCAGCCAUGCCGCGUGAAUGAUGAAGGUCUUAGGAUUGUAAAAUUCUUUCACCGGGGACGAUAAUGACGGUACCCGGAGAAGAAGCCCCGGCUAACUUCGUG
rnacentral:rRNA from 1 species